AGGGGAGUGAAAAAGAACCUGAAACCGUGUACGUACAAGCAGUGGGAGCACGCUUCGGCGUGUGACUGCGUACCUUUUGUAUAAUGGGUCAGCGACUUAUAUUCUGUAGCAAGGUUAACCGAAUAGGGGAGCCGAAGGGAAACCGAGUCUUAACUGGGCGUUAAGUUGCAGGGUAUAGACCCGAAACCCGGUGAUCUAGCCAUGGGCAGGUUGAAGGUUGGGUAACACUAACUGGAGGACCGAACCGACUAAUGUUGAAAAAUUAGCGGAUGACUUGUGGCUGGGGGUGAAAGGCCAAUCAAACCGGGAGAUAGCUGGUUCUCCCCGAAAGCUAUUUAGGUAGCGCCUCGUGAAUUCAUCUCCGGGGGUAGAGCACUGUUUCGGCAAGGGGGUCAUCCCGACUUACCAACCCGAUGCAAACUGCGAAUACCGGAGAAUGUUAUCACGGGAGACACACGGCGGGUGCUAACGUCCGUCGUGAAGAGGGAAACAACCCAGACCGCCAGCUAAGGUCCCAAAGUCAUGGUUAAGUGGGAAACGAUGUGGGAAGGCCCAGACAGCCAGGAUGUUGGCUUAGAAGCAGCCAUCAUUUAAAGAAAGCGUAAUAGCUCACUGGUCGAGUCGGCCUGCGCGGAAGAUGUAACGGGGCUAAACCAUGCACCGAAGCUGCGGCAGCGACACUAUGUGUUGUUGGGUAGGGGAGCGU
rnacentral:rRNA from 1 species